UAAGGAAUAUUGGUCAAUGGAGGCAACUCUGAACCAGCCAUGCCGCGUGCAGUGAAGAAGGCCCUCUGGGUUGUAAACUGCUUUUAUCAGGGAAAAAACCCUUCUACGUGUAGGAGGCUGACGGUACCUGAGGAAUAAGGAUCGGCUAACUCCAUGCCAGCA
rnacentral:rRNA from 1 species